UUUGUGGAGAGGCUUUCAUCUCUAAAUGCCUCUGGUCCUUCUGCCAAGCCUCAAAGAAGCUCUGCAUCUUCAUGGACUUUUCGGCAGCAGAAAGCCUCAGAGCGCUGGACAGAAGCACGACCAAACCACCUACAAGGCCUCAUUGAAAAGGAGGCUGUUGGUCAUCCCUUGUGUUGCCUCUGCCCCAAGCCGGCUGUUAUUAGGUGCAGAGAGUGUCUCCCUGAAGAGUGGUUCUGUGGGGACUGCGAUGUACUGCAUCACAAAAAACAGCCACUCCACAACAGGGAAUGUCUGAUACGUGGGUUCUUUGAACCCAUUCCUCCAACCACACGCGUCAUGAAAGGGGAGGAUGGAUAUUUGACUCAGGAGCAAGCUUGCAUCUUGCUAACUGUGAGUGUGUCAAACUGCGUCUGCGAUGGCACAACCUUCACUGUGUUACCAGGCAAACCAGUGAUUUUAAUUAACAUCAAUGGACGUUAUGACUUGCAUCAGCCACUGUAUGUAUGUCAGACGUGCCAGCAGCAGAGGACCCCUGACAUGAAGCACUUCCUUCAGAGUGGAUAUUGGCCAGCCUCUCUCAAUACUUCCACGUUGUACACGUUGGACCUCUUGAGCUCCUUUCAGGAACUGAAAGUAAUCUCUCCGGGAUUCUCCAGACAGGCCUUCGCAAAGCUCCUGGAGCAUCGCACCAAGUGUGGAGGACGAUCUGGACAUAUCAAAGGCGACACCCUGCAGCGCAGCUUCUUGGAGUUUUCAUAUGCUUCGUUUGAGAAGGACCAACUCUGCUGUGGUGCUGUUCUCACCUGCCCAGCCUGCACACCAGAAAUGUUGGCUGUUUCAGUAGAUGGAAACAGAAAGUUAUAUCGCUUUCGCCGAAAUGGAAGUUCUGGUGACCAUGCCUUUUUUGAAGGUUUAUUUGUGGCUGAAGACAGUGCAGUGUCUGGAUUUGUGGACAUGAUCCAGAAAGCUGUGAAAAAGACACAGGGAAGAGGCACGUGUGGGGACUCCCAAUGGACAGCAGCACGGGAGACAUCAAGAAGGGCAUCCAAAUUGGAUGAAGAGGGCAUGGAGGUUGCUGUGUGUCGCCAUGGUUUCCUUCUUAAAGCCCUUAAUAUGUACAGGGGAGAAAUAUUUGCCUGCCCCAUGUACCUUCAAAAGGAGCUGAUGCCAGCCAAGGCACAAUUCUUUGCCAUGGAUGUGGCUUGCAAAUACUGGCCAUACCUGGAGAAAGUUGCCAGUGUCCUUCCUGCUCUCCAGGAGCUGACCACCAUGAAACCUUUCCUCAGCGUCAUGCAUGCUCGAGCUCAUGCUACCAAGUGUGAGCCCGGUUGGACAUGCUCACAUUGCAUGCAAUGUUGUGGAACCAGAAGAAAGGGGAUUCCUUACACCAGGCACUUUCCACAAGAUAUGUGAAGACUUGUCAGAGGCUCCUGGAUGAGACUGCAAUGCUAGCAGAGCUAAAAACCCAGCUACAUCUCUCAGAUGAAAUGGUGUCACAGUGGAUCUCAGAUGUGAUGGAAUGGGCAGCUGGUGAGACACGAGAUGCAUCUGACAACCUGCAAGGCACCACACACACAGGGCUUCAGCGGUCCAUUGAGGGGCUCUACCUCAGUGUGAGGCAGCGGAAGCUAAAUCUGUACCGUCAGAAUGACAGCAACAAGCUUCGCCACCGGCUUCGGAGGAAGCUGGCAGAAGAGAAAAAGCUCCUUUUUCAGGAGAUACAAAAGCACAACAAGCUUGACUCUGCAGCCAACAUCGAUGCAGCUGUGGUGGAGCACUCCCUGAGUGGAGAGAGCACUGUGUCCCCAAUAUGGCCUUGGGAGGUUCAUGACAGCGCAAACAUUGGAACCAAGAAACGGCUUCAUGACCAAGUCAUGACAACAAAGCGACUGCAGGAGGAAAAAAACAUUCUGGUGAUGGAGAUGGCACAACACUGCACAUGGUUGCAGAACCUGGCAUUGGUUCUCAAAAACAAGGUGGCUGAGUCGGGUGGAGAGUCUGGAGACAAAGGAGCUGAAGGACUUUGCAGUCUCUUGAGGAGAAGAAACACAGAGGUGUCAGAGGGGUUGCAAGUGGUCCUGCAAAAAUACAAGACUGCUUUAGGUCCUGAGGCCUCUGUCAUUCAAAAUAUUGAAGAGGAAGACCAAAGUGUCCACAGCAGUCCAGACACCAGUGAGGAUGAAGAGGAAAGCAUAAUUUAGAUUGAAGCUGCACUGAGGAUGGACUAAGGAAAUGGACUUGCCUAGAAAGCACUAAUGUGAUAAAACAUGCAUUCGGGCGUCUUAUAUUAUUUCACACGCAUAGAUAUUAACUUGGCACUAUGGGGGAGGGAACCAAGGAAGGCAGGCUUUCCUAUGAUUGGCCGUUCUGAAGCGCGAUAUUCGAUUGACAGCCCUCCUCAGCCCGAAUUCAGCCAAGGGUUUCUUACUUGAAGGGACCUUCGCCCAGACGUGAUUGUCUUCUGAGUUUCAGCCAUUGACUACAAUACAGAAUGAAUGAGAGGAGGGCUGAGGAAGGCUCUCAAUCAAAUAUCGUGCUUCAGAAACAGCCAAUCACAGGAAAGCACGCCCUGCCUUGAUUCCCUCCCACAUAGUGCCAAAAUUAAAUUUGAGCGAGAGAGCAUAACAUCAUUCGCGAGAGGCUGUUUUGUAUGACCAAAGUUAUUCCCCCCUCUCGCUUGCAACGAGGUAAUGCUCUCGAGGAUCUUUUUUCCUGGCUCGGGGAGCUGCGCUCUGAGUGCGGACGUGCGCACAGAUAAUUUGGGCGCUCGCAGUUAACAUCUACGUGUAUGAAAUAAUAUAAUACGCCCGAAUGCAUGUUUUAUCCCAUUAGUGCUUUAUGGCACUAAUGUGUCGCCAUACUCAACCGCUUAUCCUGGCAACUUCACACCUGACACUGCACCCUUGGGUCUUCUGCAAUACACCCACCAAGUGUAAAAUAAAUCAGAUGAACACUACUAACUGCUUCCUGUCAACUGACAGCAGUCAGCUGACCGUCAUUACAUCGCUGUAGCACGUGAACAUUCAUUGGUGCCAUACUUGACAGCUCUCCACACAGUUACAUAGCAUUGUGGUGAAUGUUCAGACCACUGUUUCAUCUCUCCCCUUCCAGCGUCACAGAUUAUCAAUCUUGGUGAUGGAGGCACUAGCAUUUUGGUGUGUUAUUUAGUUAAUGUGUGUAAAAGAUGACUUCCUCAAAUGUCUUGUUUUGUUCGGAAUUCAAAGAUAUUCAGUUGACAGAAUAUAUAGAAGUAUAAAGAAACCAGAAAAUAUUACAUUUGAGAAUCUGGAAUCUGAUCAUUUUGAAUUUUUUUAUUUUUCAAAAAAUGAAAAAGUGAUUAAUCGUUCAUCCAAACAGUUGGUUAUUAAUUAAAAUCAAAUAGUUGCAUGUCAUGUAAAAUGUAAAUCAAGGAGAACGACCAUUUUGAUUGAUAGGGUGGCGUGACUAAGUAUGUAUACAUAUAAUAUGUAUGUAAUAUGCAUUAGACUGUAUGUAACAAAGAGACAGUUGUAAAGUUAAUAUAGGUACGUACAGUAUAACUGGAUUACAUGUUCUGUUGUCAGUGCUUAUGUAAAGCUAACCCUACAGUCCAUUUUUAAGAAAUACAGCCCAAAUUGUUUGUGUGUUGGACAGAUCCAUUUGGUGCAUUUUCUCCAGUAUUGUUGCAAAAGAUGAAUACAUUAUUGCCAAAAAUGACCAUUUUUUGUUUUACUUUUCCAUAAUGUUUAGAAACAUCAUGUGACAGUUUUGUGUUUUAUAAAAAAAGAUAGCCUAUCAAGAGAAAAUAUGGGAAACAAACAUAAAUAAUGCAUAAUUAAUUAUAUUUUGAAUUGAGUUAAAUUUAACAUCACAUACGUUAUUAUUUAUGUGGAUUACAUCAAUUAACUGAUCUCCUUGUGAUAUAUUUCACCCAAAUCAUCUAUAUGCAGUAUAAUGUAGCCUAUGUUUUACUUGUAGAUUUUUGAUUCAGUAAAGAUUCAUUUUCCUAAACUUA